rnacentral:rRNA from 1 species
UACGGAGGGGGCUAGCGUUGUUCGGAAUUACUGGGCGUAAAGCGCACGUAGGCGGCUUUGCAAGUUAGAGGUGAAAGCCCGGGGCUCAACCCCGGAAUUGCCUUUAAAACUGCAUCGCUAGAAUUGUGGAGAGGUAAGUGGAAUUCCGAGUGUAGAGGUGAAAUUCGUAGGUAUUCGGAAGAACACCAGUGGCGAAGGCGACUUACUGGACACAUAUUGACGCUGAGGUGCGAAAGCGUGGGGAGCAAACAGG